GGAAUGAAAAGCCAUUGAUGUCUGAGGAUGGAGAGCAAAUUGAUCCAAUACCCAUGGAAGCUACAGCGGUUUUAACUAUAGCAUUUUGAUUCAAAUUACAUGCUUAGUCACUGGGGGGAAAAAAAAAAAAAAAGAACAGAACAAAACCAACAAACCAACCCAGAAACAAAGAGCCAAGCAGGAAUCACUAUAUGGGAAAAGGAGACGACUACAGUCAUCCCCCUUGAAGUCAGAAACACUUUGCCUGGAGAUGACGAUUGUGUAUGUGACACUGUUGCAGAACUGCCCUCAUGAAGCAUGACUGUGUUCCUGGAUCUACCAUUUAUUCAAUAUCCUACACUAACUUUGGUUUCUGUCCAAUCUCACCUAAGGCCAUGUCGAGGGAGGUGACCUUCUCUGCUCAGCACUAGUGAAGCCAUAGCUAGAGUGCUGUCUCCAGGUCUGGGUGCCCCAACACAAGACAGACACGGAGUUACUGGAAAGAGUCCAGCAAGAUGAUAAAGGUUGUCCAGAGAGAUGGUGGCAUCUCCAUCCUCAGAGAUAUUCAAAACCCACAGACAUGGUCCUGGGGAACCUGCUCUAGUUGACCCUGC